AUUGAACGCUGGCGGCAUGCCUUACACAUGCAAGUCGAACGGCAGCACGGGUGCUUGCACCUGGUGGCGAGUGGCGAACGGGUGAGUAAUAUAUCGGAACGUACCUUAUUGUGGGGGAUAACGCAGCGAAAGCUGUGCUAAUACCGCAUAAUCCCUAAGGGGGAAAGCGGGGGACCGUAAGGCCUCGCGCAAUUAGAGCGGCCGAUACCUGAUUAGCUAGUUGGUGAGGUAAAGGCUCACCAAGGCAACGAUCAGUAGCUGGUCUGAGAGGACGAUCAGCCACACUGGGACAGAGACACGGCCCAGACUCCUACGGGAGGCAGCAGUGGGGAAUUUUGGACAAUGGGGGCAACCCUGAUCCAGCAAUGCCGCGUGAGUGAAGAAGGCCUUCGGGUUGUAAAGCUCUUUUGUCAGGGAAGAAACAGCAGCUCUAACACAGUAUGCGAAUGACGGUACCUGAAGAAUAAGCACCGGCUAACUACGUGCCAGCAGCCGCCGCAG
rnacentral:rRNA from 1 species